GUUGCAGUGUCAAAAAGGGGAGAUCGGCGCCUGCGCGGCCAACGGGUUCCCACGCGGCCUCAACGGGAGCCGUGAGGAGGCGGACUCCCAGGCCGGGCUCGCGCUCUGGAUCGCUGAAUCCGGCCUUUCCGGCCAGACUGCCGCGCCUGGGGCCGGAAGAGCCAGCUAGACCUGAGAGUCUGUACCUGCAACCCUGGCGGCGUCCGAGCCCAAGACGGAGUCUGGGAGACAAAGAAGUCCUCGCCGCGGGCCGCUGGAGGAUGACUCCGGCUUCUGCCAGUAGCGAAGUCAGGGAUGGGCCCGAGAGAGCUUGGAAAGAGGACAAGGAAGGGAAGGAGUAGGAGUAGAAAAGCAUGGCUUUGGCUCGAGAUGGGGUCUCGUUAUGUUGACCAGGCUGGUCUUGAACACCUGGCCUGGAGUGAUCCUCUUGCCUCAGCCUCCCAUAGUGCUGCGAUCACAGGUGUGCAUGCCUUCCUUAUUUCUCAUACUCAUCACCUCCUCUUCCCGCUUGGAACUGCCCACACUGGUG